CUGCCGGCGACCGGCGCACGGGUGAGUAACACGUAUGCAACCUGCCCUCCGCAGGGGGAUAACCCGGAGAAAUCCGGACUAAUACCGCGUGGUACAUCUGUGGGGCAUCCCACGGGUGUUAAAAGGAAGCGAUUCCGGCGGAGGAUGGGCAUGCGGCGCAUUAGCUAGUUGGCGGGGUAACGGCCCACCAAGGCGACGAUGCGUAGGGGUUCUGAGAGGAAGGUCCCCCACACUGGUACUGAGACACGGACCAGACUCCUACGGGAGGCAGCAG
rnacentral:rRNA from 1 species